rnacentral:lncRNA from 1 species
GAUGAGGAAGCUGCCUCUUCUGCAUGGUUUAUUUUUUCUUUUCCCUUUAUUUAAUGCUCUUUUUUGUGAAAGACGUUUCACCACACAAUAUGCUCCGGCUGCUCAUUUGAAGGGAGCGUGUAGAAUCCAGGUCCUGACCCACAGGGUGAUGAAAGGGACAUCUGCCCGCAGGGAAUCAGGCCUGGAUCACAUCGAGCUGGAUCAGCCUAUGCUUGACUUCCUGACCCUAAGAAGAACGCGGACACUGGGUCUACAGGUGGGGCCUCUGGAGUCCAGUGGGAAAAGCCAUCAACCAAGAACUAGAAAUUCUGUGUCAUGGUUGUGCCGUGCCUUCAGUAUGCAGUGUAGAACCAGGGGUCGUGUGUGCACAGUUCCUUCGGACACCCGAGCUACUCGGCUUCUUUCUCUCUGGCUUGGAACGGGCACCCCCGUGGAGCAGACCCAGGCUGGGGUGUCCUACAUUGUAAAUAAAACUGCUGCCCAGAAUAGUCCAGAACAUUCACAACCCGGGAAGCAGGGCAACAGGACUGACUGUGGCACCUUCCCCCCUGCCGCGCCCACCUCCCCCCACUCACAUGGGACUGGAUCCACCCUGAGGAGCCACGGUCAACAUCCUGCUUCCGGCAGGCCCUCCUGGAGGCCGCACAGAGGGGUGUUUGUUCGCAGUGGGCCGCGGGAGAGAUGCUAAUCAUGUUGGAUCUCUGGUCUGGGCUGAAGGUCAGGAGGUAAGGCGACCCACGGCUAUAAAUAACUGUGCCAGGCUGCUGAGGGCAGCUCGCUGGAUCCGCGCCCCUCUCCGGCCGGCCGGCGGGCCCGGAUUGAUUUCUGGCAUCCCGGCCACCGCGGGAACUUGAACCCCAGAGAGCUAAAGCGCUGUGACCUUUGGGGGUGGUGCGCAAGGUCAGGCCAGGCCUCCUGGGCUUUCCUGCCUACUGAAUUCAAGCAUUUGCACCUUUGUCACUCCGCAGAGGCCAGAAAGUGGAGGUUGUGCAUGCCACCCCCAAACGCAGGUACCGGUACCUCUGUACCCCACCCCACCAAGCUCUAGUCCUCAGCCUGUUCCAGAUGAGAGAGGCCCAAAGUGUCCCAGCCAGGGAGGGACAGCCCAGGCUCCAGAGCCCAGCCCUGCCUCCAGAGGCCCGAUCUGGAAGGAGUUGACCCCAGAGAGCUAUGUGUUCUCAGCUAGAUGGAAACAGUCCUCCCCUUCACUUUGGAAGGCUAAGUGGAGAGACUCUAGUGGCAACAGUCUGGCAGCUGGUCGUGCAUCAGGGAGGCAGGCAGGCACCACUUUCUGUCUCCUGUACAGAAAGGGGUGGGGGAUUUAACCGGGAGGGGGGAGGUAUGCCUCUUAUUUUUCAAAACAAACCUUUUUUUUGGGGGGGGGGGUCCCGGGGAAGUGAGGUACACAGGAUGACCAUUCCACAAAAGUGGACAUAGCCCAAGCUGCACAUGUGGCCAGUUCCCAGACGGAGAAACAGCACCAGGCAGUCCUCGCCUAGCUUGUGAAGCCCUGGGUUCCGGAACCGUCUGGGCGCUACUGAUAGAUAGGGCUUGCCCGUAAUCCUAGCGCUCAGGAAGCAGAGGCAGGAGGAUCAGAGUUCAAGGUCAUCCACGUCUACAAAGCAAAUUUGAGGUUACCUGGACUACGUGAAACCCUGCUUCAAAAAAACAAAAACAAACAAAAAAAA